CGCCUUUUGUAAGAAUAGAAGGUCUAGCCUGCCCACUGAAGAAGUUAAAGGGCCGCGGUAUAUUGACCGUGCAAAGGUAGCAUAAUCAUUAGUCUUCUAAUUAAAGGCUGGAAUGAAUGGCUGGACGAGGUAUUAGCUGUCUCCUUGAAAUAACCCAGAAAUUAACUUUUUAGUCAAAAGGCUGAAAUAUAAUUGGAGGACGAGAAGACCCUAUAGAGCUUUAUAUCAUAAGUGUCUAGUUUGUUUCGACGGAGUUCAGCUUAACAUGGAAGAUAUUUUGUUGGGGUGACAGGAAGAUAUAAGAAACUCUUCUUUUAAUAAGCCAUAAAUACAUGAAUUAAAUGAUCCAAGAAGAGUGAUUAAAAGACUAAGUUACCUUAGGGAUAACAGCGUAAUCUUUUUUGAGAGUUCAAAUCGACAAAAAGGGUUGCGACCUCGAUGUUGGACUAAGGGUUAUUCUUGGGUGUAGAAGUUCAAGGUUUGGGUCUGUUCGACCCUUGAAUCCUUACAU
rnacentral:rRNA from 1 species